AAUCAACGCUGGCGGCGUGCCUAACACAUGCAAGUCGAACGCGACUCUGGCUUCGGCCAGAGUUGAGUGGCGAACGGGUGAGUAACACGUGGGUGACCUACCUUCGAGUGGGGGAUAACGUCCCGAAAGGGACGCUAAUACCGCAUAACAUCCUGCCCUUGAACAGGCGGAGAUCAAAGCCGGGGAUCGCAAGACCUGGCGCUUGAUGAGGGGCCCGCGUCCGAUUAGCUAGUUGGUGAGGUAUUGGCUCACCAAGGCGACGAUCGGUAGCCGGCCUGAGAGGGCGGACGGCCACACUGGGUCUGAGACACGGCCCAGACUCCUACGGGAGGCAGCAGUGGGGAAUUGUUCGCAAUGGGCGCAAGCCUGACGACGCAGCGCCGCGUGGAGGAUGAAGGUCUUCGGAUUGUAAACUCCUGUUGCCCGGGACGAAUGGCUCCGACCUAACACGUCGGAGUGUGACGGUACCGAGUGAGGAAGCCCCGGCUAACUCUGUGCC
rnacentral:rRNA from 1 species